UACGUAGGGGGCAAGCGUUGUCCGGAAUCAUUGGGCGUAAAGCGCGUGUAGGCGGUUCGGUAAGUCGGCUGUGAAAGUCCAGGGCUCAACCCUGGGAUGCCGGUCGAUACUGCCGGACUAGAGUUCGGAAGAGGCGAGUGGAAUUCCCGGUGUAGCGGUGAAAUGCGCAGAUAUCGGGAGGAACACCAGUGGCGAAGGCGGCUUCCUGGCCUGUUCUUGACGCUGAGGCGCGAAAGCUAGGGGAGCAAACGGG
rnacentral:rRNA from 1 species